rnacentral:rRNA from 1 species
AGUGAACGCUGGCGGUAGGCCUAACACAUGCAAGUCGAACGGCAGCACAGUAAGAGCUUGCUCUUACGGGUGGCGAGUGGCGGACGGGUGAGGAAUGCAUCGGAAUCUACUUUUUCGUGGGGGAUAACGUAGGGAAACUUACGCUAAUACCGCAUACGACCUACGGGUGAAAGCAGGGGAUCUUCGGACCUUGCGCGAUUGAAUGAGCCGAUGUCGGAUUAGCUAGUUGGCGGGGUAAAGGCCCACCAAGGCGACGAUCCGUAGCUGGUCUGAGAGGAUGAUCAGCCACACUUGAACUGAGACACGGUCCAGACUCCUACGGGAGGCAGCAGUGGGGAAUAUUGGACAAUGGGCGCAAGCCUGAUCCAGCCAUACCGCGUGGGUGAAGAAGGCCUUCGGGUUGUAAAGCCCUUUUGUUGGGAAAGAAAAGCAGCAGGUUAAUACCCCGCUGUUCUGACGGUACCCAAAGAAUAAGCACCGGCUAACUUCGUG